rnacentral:tRNA from 1 species
GCCCCUAGAAAGACCUCUAAACA